GAAGGAAGCAGACGGCUGGACUGUCAGAGGAGACGGAACAAGAUGAGGAGGUUUCCUUCCCAGCCAUUUACAACUGGAUUCUUGAAUGUAUCAGGCGACCUGUCCAGGGUGUAGCUACCCCGCUUUAGUCCCCAUAAUCGCUGAACACAUGCAGAGCCUCUCACGAUCGUCCCGAAAAUAAACAGAAGAUGAAUGCCUUAUAAGUAAAUACAUACAAGCUCAAAUUACAGUACUGGAUAGUUUUUCUUUUGUUUGUUUUUGUGUUUUUACAUUUGUUCAGUCUCUCUCGGUCUCCCUUCAGCACCUCGGACAGCGGCGGUCUCUCCAACCAGGAUCAACGCUGAGGGGCCCCGGUGGAGUCAGUUUUAGACUGCGAGAAAUCGCUCUUAAUUUUAAAGAAAAUGCCUGCAGCACAUCGUUAUGACAAUUUCUAUCCAAAGAGAGCAUUUUUAUAUUUAAUAUCUUGCAUUGGGAAAUUGAUGCCUCUUUUCUUUAGAAUGAAAAAAAAAACUUUCUUCCUCCAGAGAAAAUGACGUGGGGCCUCAUGCAUAAAAGAGUGCGGCAGUUUUCACACUAAAACUUGGCGUAAGGAAAAAUUUUGAAAAGUGCGGCGCACAAAAAAAAAAUUGGCUGGAUAAAGCCCCGCACCUUUCCUUUAUAAAUCCUAAUUUGCGGAAAAUAGAGCGCAGCUGCUGGUCCACCCAUAAUUACGUAUGUAAAGCAGUAUAAAUACCCGGAAGUCUGCCACCACGUGAAGCAAUAACCAUGGCAACGUCCUGCUUUGAAGCAGCGUUAGCUUAUUGUCUGAUAAUAAAUGCGGUUCAGUUUCAUCGUUUACAUUUAAACAAUAAAAUAUUAAAAUCAUGAAAAACAUCGGUUUUGGUGCCGACUUGUGCGCGCGCACGCUUGGUGCAUGAGGCCCCUGAUUCUUAUUUCUGACCAACAGCAAACUGACUACACCAGGGGACCAAAGGACCCGGAGAGCCUCCCUC